rnacentral:rRNA from 1 species
UACGAUCGCAAAGGUUGAAACUCAAAGGAAUUGACGGGGGCCCGCACAAGCGGUGGAGUAUGUGGUUUAAUUUGAAGCAACGUGAUGAACCUUACCAGGGCUUGACAUCCCGAUGACCGCUCUAGAGAUAGAGUUUUCUCUUCGGAGACAUCGGUGACAGGUGGUGCAUGGUUGUCGUCAGCUCGUGUCGUGAGAUGUUGGGUUAAGUCCCGCAACGAGCGCAACCCUUAUUGUUAGUUGCUACGCAAGAGCACUCUAGCGAGACUGCCGUUGACAAAACGGAGGAAGGUGGGGACGACGUCAAAUCAUCAUGCCCCUUAUGUCCUGGGCCACACACGUACUACAAUGGUGGUCAACAGAGGGAAGCAAUACCGCGAGGUGGAGCAAAUCCCUAAAAGCCAUCCCAGUUCGGAUCGCAGGCUGCAACCCGCCUGCGUGAAGUUGGAAUCGCUAGUAAUCGCGGAUCAGCAUGCCGCGGUGAAUACGUUCCCGGGCCUUGUACACACCGCCCGUCACACCAUGAGAGUCGGGAACACCCGAAGUCCGUAGCCUAACCGCAAGGGGGGCGCGGCCGAAGGUGGGUUCGAUAAUUGGGGUGAAGUCGUAACAAGGUAACCGU